rnacentral:rRNA from 1 species
AUUGAACGCUGGCGGCAUGCUUUACACAUGCAAGUCGAACGGUAACAGGCCGCAAGGUGCUGACGAGUGGCGAACGGGUGAGUAAUGCAUCGGAACGUGCCCAGUCGUGGGGGAUAACUACUCGAAAGAGUAGCUAAUACCGCAUACGAUCUAUGGAUGAAAGCGGGGGACCGUAAGGCCUCGCGCGAUUGGAGCGACCGAUGUCAGAUUAGGUAGUUGGUGGGUAAAGGCUCACCAAGCCAACGAUCUGUAGCUGGUCUGAGAGGACGACCAGCCACACUGGGACUGAGACACGGCCCAGACUCCUACGGGAGGCAGCAGUGGGGAAUUUUGGACAAUGGGCGCAAGCCUGAUCCAGCAAUGCCGCGUGCAGGAAGAAGGCCUUCGGGUUGUAAACUGCUUUUGUACGGAACGAAACGGCUCUGGUUAAUACCCGGGGCUAAUGACGGUACCGUAAGAAUAAGCACCGGCUAACUACGUG